rnacentral:ncRNA from 2 species
CUCUUAUCAAGAGCGGCUUAGGGACUGGCCCGAUGAAGCCCGGCAACCAGCAGGAUUGGAACGUUUUUGAUCCUGCAAGGUGCCAAUUCCAGCAGGAUGCGAGUAUGUCCUGGCAGAUGAGAG